UUAAGUUCAGCGGGUAGUCCCACCCGAUUUGAGGUCAAAUUGUCAAAGAUUGUCCUUGUCAGGACUGUUUGGAAGCAUAGAGCCCACAGGUACAAGCGCGACUCGAAAAAGUCAACUCCGGUAAAGAUUUAUCACACCGAAUACGCUGCAAAGCAGGGUACACUCAGGCAUUUCAGACGAGCCGUUUGUUACACGGCAAC
rnacentral:misc_RNA from 1 species